rnacentral:rRNA from 1 species
CCCGUGUUUAUUUUACCUUGUUGCUUCGGCGGGCCCGCCUUAACUGGCCGCCGGGGGGCUUACGCCCCCGGGCCCGCGCCCGCCGAAGACACCCUCGAACUCUGUCUGAAGAUUGUAGUCUGAGUGAAAAUAUAAAUUAUUUAAAACUUUCAACAACGGAUCUCUUGGUUCCGGCAUCGAUGAAGAACGCAGCGAAAUGCGAUACGUAAUGUGAAUUGCAAAUUCAGUGAAUCAUCGAGUCUUUGAACGCACAUUGCGCCCCCUGGUAUUCCGGGGGGCAUGCCUGUCCGAGCGUCAUUUCUGCCCUCAAGCACGGCUUGUGUGUUGGGCCCCGUCCUCCGAUCCCGGGGGACGGGCCCGAAAGGCAGCGGCGGCACCGCGUCCGGUCCUCGAGCGUAUGGGGCUUUGUCACCCGCUCUGUAGGCCCGGCCGGCGCUUGCCGAUCAACCCAAAUUUUUAUCCAGGUUGACCUCGGAUCAGGUAGGGAUACCCGCUGAACUUAAGCAUAUCAAUAAG